rnacentral:rRNA from 1 species
UAAAUUAUUAAGAGCACUUGAUGGAUGCCUUGGCGUUAAGAGGCGAUGAAGGACGUGGCAGGCUGCGAUAAGCUGUGGGGAAUUGUCAACAAAUUUUGAUCCGCAGAUUUCCGAAUGGGGAAACCCAACUAGCUUAGCUAGUUAUUAUAUACUAAGUAUAUAAAGCAAACUUGGUGAACUGAAAUAUCUAAGUAGCCAAAGGAAAAGAAAUCAACCGAGAUUCUGUUAGUAGUGACGAGCGAAAGCGGAAAAGGCUAGUGGUUUAAAAAUAAGAAUUAGAAUACUUUGGAAAUGGUAACCAUAGAAGGUGAUAGUCCUGUAUAAGUAGAAAGUUUUUAAAUCCUUGAGUAGAGCGGGGCACGUGAAAUCCUGUUUGAAUAUGGGGGGACCAUCCUCCAAGCCUAAAUACUCCUUAAUGACCGAUAGUGAACAAGUACCGUGAGGGAAAGGUGAAAAGAACCCCGGGAGGGGAGUGAAAUAGAAUCUGAAAUCAAGUGCUUACAAACAGUUGGGGCUCUAUAUCAAUUUAUUGAUAUUUAGAGUGACAGCGUACCUUUUGCAUAAUGGGUCAGCGAGUUAAUCUGUGAAGCAAGCUUAAGCCGUUAGGUGUAGGCGUAGCGAAAGCAAGUCUGAAUAGGGCGUUUAGUUUUACGGAUUAGACCCGAAACCAAGUGAUCUAGUCAUGACCAGAUUGAAGGUAUGGUAAAACAUACUGAAGGAUCGAACCAGUUAAUGUUGCAACAUUAUUGGAUGAGUUGUGAUUAGGGGUGAAAGGCCAAUCAAACUUGGAAAUAGCUGGUUCUCCGCGAAAUCUAUUUAGGUAGAGCGUUGUAUGUAUGUUGUUGGGGGUAGAGCACUGGAUAGACU